rnacentral:tRNA from 1 species
AGCCCCGUGGUGUAGUGGACUAGCAUAGUGCCCUUUGGAGGCAUUGACGGCGGUUCGAAUCCGCCCGGGGCUA